rnacentral:lncRNA from 1 species
UGUUAAAGCCCCAGUCCCACUAGACCACGAUCGCACCACGCUAACCGCGAUCUAAAAUAAAUUUUGAUCGUGGUGAGGUCGCAGUAUGAGCGGCAUGAAAAUGUAAAUUUUCGUUGCUUUCACGAUGCUACUACGUCCUCUCUACGCUUCUACAAAGAUCCCGCUACGAUUAUACCACGUUCUCCCCGCGCUUAUUCUGCGACCUCACUACGCUUAUCAAGAUCUUUCUACGCUCUUCACGUUCUCACUACGACCAUACCACGAGUUUUCCGAUUGCAACACGAUCUUACUGCGAUUAUAACAAGUUCUUACCACGAUUAUACUAUGUUCAUAGCGCGAUCUUACUACGUUCUCAGCAAUAACGUCAACAUCGUGUUCCAUAUCA